AUGCGAGUACACAAGGUGAAAUGUUGCUUCAUGAGCUUUAUUAUAACAUCUGAUUGAACAAAGAGAAGCUGUAGUUUGCGCCUUAGGGACUACAUUUCCCAGCUUGCUGAGGGGUGUGGAGUUGCCAGAAGAAGCCGAUGGGAAAAGGUUCGCCUGAGGUAUUCAGGCUGUGUGGCGGAGAAACGGCCAGUGCUGCCACCCUGUGGUCCAAAGUGGAACUACCUAAAGAUGGACCCGGACUAUAAAUGUCCAGAACCGCCUUUUGUCUCUGAAGUCUGAAUGUAAAAUGUGUGGCAGUGUGAAUCCUUUAAUCCAGAGAUGGACUGAUC